rnacentral:rRNA from 1 species
GCGUAGGCGUCCAGCUGCAUCUUGUCUGAAAGCCCUCCGCUUAACGGGGGAUCCGGACAGGAAAUGGGCUGGAUUUGAGGUUCAUAGAGGUAGCCGGAACUUGCAGUGGAGCGGUGAAAUGCGUUGAUAUUGCAAGGAACACCGAUGGCGUAGGCAGGCUACUGGGUGAAAUCUGACGCUGAUGCACGAAAGCUAGGGGAGCGAAGCGGAUUAGAGACCCGCGUAGUCCUAGCCGUAAACGAUGGACACUAGCUGUCCGCCAAUUGGUGGAUGGCGCAAGCUAACGCGUUAAGUGUCCCGCCUGGGGAGUACGGCCGCAAGGCUAAAACUCAAAGGAAUUGACGGGGACCCGCACAAGCGGUGGAGCAUGUGGUUUAAUUCGAAACAAAGCGAAAAACCUUACCAGGGUUUGACAUCCUAACUGCACGUUCGCCGAAAGGCGGAUUUCUUCGAGAGUGUUAGGACAGGUGCUGCAUGGCUGUCGUCAGCUUGUACCGUGAGGCGCACCCUUAAGUGGGUUAACAAGCGCAACCCCCAUCCCAUGUUAAAUAUCAUGGGAAACUGCCCGCUAAAAGCGAGGAGGAAGGCGGGGAUGACGUCAAGUCAGCACGGCCCUUAUGCCCUGGGCUACACACAUCCUACAAUGGGUGUAUAACAACGGGUUUGCAACUAGGUAACUGGAAGCUAAUCCUCCAAAAGCAUCCUCAGUUCGGAUUGAGGGCUGCAAUUCGCCCUCAUGAAGCUGAAAUCGCUAGUAAUCGCGGAUCAGCAGGCCGCGGUGAAUACGUUCUCGGGUCUUGUACACACCGCCCGUCAAGCCAACAAAGUCGGGGGUGCCCGAAGUGUCUAUUUUUAGGCCCUAAGGCAAAACCGGCGAUGGGGACUAAGUCGUUUGAUCAAUCUGAUCGUUGCGACCUUGGAGAGUAAUCUCCUCGAAAAAUUUGGCUAUAUCGGUGAAACUCCUACUUGAUUUUCGGAUUAUCUUCGGGUAAUCUGAUAUUAAGGGACAAUACCGAGGGAACCUUCUCUAAAAGAAAGAAGGACUCCGUAGAGACUACACGCCAACCCCUUAUAUCAGCAGGUCAACUUGAAACUUCGUUUCAAUAUUGCACCUCUGAUAUAUCAGGAUCAGCGAAGCUGAUGGCUGAUAUGACAAAGGCAUAUUUACUGGGAGCAUUACAUGAUGCGACUAUUCGUAAAAUAACCUAUCGAAUAGGUGCGAAAGAUUUAUCUUAUGCAGAAUUUCUAAAAAAGGGGAUUACUGCACUAGGACAUAAAGCAUGGAUUUACAAGGAAGGCAAAAGUAGAAAUUACUACAUUGUUGAAUUUGUUAAAUCAAUACUUGAUCAAGUAGCACUAAAGUCCUUCGAUGAUAAAAUAGAUUAUAUUCGAGGUUAUUUUGAUACGGAUGGUGGUAUAGCAAGGUCAAAAAAUGUGCGAUAUUAUUUGUAUUUUGCACAAAAGAAUAAAAAUGAUCUUGCAAAUGUAAAGAAUUAUUUAGAACAACUUAACAUUAGUUGCGGAAUAAUUCACAAUCCUAGUAAAAGUAAAGAUGCCAGUUACUUCCGAUUCUUCAUUAAAGCAGAAUCUUAUCAAAGAUUUGCUGAAGUUAUCGGAUCGUGGCAUCCAAUAAAGUCUAAGUUUUUAAGGGUGAAGAUAUAGUCCAUGCCUGGCAGUAAUGUCGGGGUAAACAUGAACAAGGUAUCCGUUCUGGAAGGAGCGGAUGGAUCACCUCCUU